rnacentral:lncRNA from 1 species
UUAACUUUUCAAUCAUGUGUCAGCAGCAAGAAGACGUUCUGCGGGCGCGCACGUGAGACGGCAUUCGAGCACUGUGAUUGGGCGAAAAGCCUGGGAUUGUUCUCGUCGGCUCGACUGGACUGAGCAGCGCAUCUGCAGAUGGAAAAACGUACGGCACCGCAUCGACAGACUUAACUGGAGGCGCCUGCGCAGAUGGAUUUCUUUGCUGCUUCGACGGCCACUGUUACUUCGACGGCCACAUUGACCAGAUCUACCCACCCCCCAGUUCGACGUCAUCAAUGCGGCCGACUAUAAGAGACGGACCGAGCUGCAAUUUCUUCAGUGGGCACGUCAGCUGCUCCCCAGCAAACAUGAACCCCUUCCUGUAUUUCAUGCAGGUUAG